GCCGGGCAUGGUGGCACAUGCCUGUAAUCCCAGUGGCUUGGGAGGCUGAGGCAGGAGGAUCACCAGUUCAAAGCCAGCCUCAGCAACAAUGAGGUGCUAAGCAACUCACUGAGACCCUGUCUCUA
rnacentral:sRNA from 1 species